rnacentral:tRNA from 1 species
UCCGAUAUGGUGUAGUGGUUAACAUUAUCGCCUCUCAUGCAGUGUUAGACAUGGUUUCGCGAUAGCCCGGGGUUCGAUUCCCCGUGUCGGAA